rnacentral:rRNA from 1 species
UACGUAGGGUGCGAGCGUUGUCCGGAAUUAUUGGGCGUAAAGGGUCCGCAGGCGGUCUGACAAGUACCUUGUGAAAUAUCAGGUCUCAACCCUGAAACUGCUCGGUAGACUGUCAGACUUGAGUGCAAAAGGGGUCGCUGGAACUCUAGGUGGAGCGGUGAAAUGCGUAGAUAUCUAGAGGAACGCCAAAGGUGAAGACAGGCGACUGGUUUGCAACUGACGCUCAUGGACGAAAGCGUGGGGAUCAAACGGG